AUCUUCAUUUGAAAAGAAAUCAGUUGCUCUCUCUCAUUCCCUCUCUCUCGCCCCCUAGCCAGAGUUAAAGUCCGGUGAACAAGCCGCCAUAUGCCCCGCCGGUCGCCGUCGCCGGCCACCGCACGCGAUGGCUGGAUUUCCGAAGGCAAACGGUGGUGGAGGCAAGUGCUAUUUGUACUAUCAAUGCAACUAAGGCAGUAGAAUUAGGUGAUUUAGGGUUUCUUUUUCUUUUUCUUUUUUUAUUUUGUUUUGGGUAUUGGGCUAAUUGGGCUAGGGUUAGGUAUUAGGUUUGGGUUUAGUGGGUUAUUUAGUUUAAUUGGGCCUGCAAAUUGGGCGUGUACAAAAUUAAUUAUACAACAAAAAAAUCAAAUAAACCAAUAAUGAUUAAUUAUAAACUAAUAAUAUAACUUCAAAGUUAGAAUAAUAUAA